rnacentral:rRNA from 1 species
GGUUGUCGUCAGGGGGGCUCGUGCCGUGAGGUGUCGGGUUAAGUCCAUAACGAGCGCAACCCUAUCGGUAGUUACCAGCGCAUAAGUGGUGGGGACUCUGCCGAGACUGCCGGUGUAAACCGUGAGGAAGGUGGGGAUGGCGUCAAAUCAGCACGGCCCUUACAUCCAGGGCUACACACGUGUUACAAUGGCCGGUACAAAGGGCAGCUACCCGCGAGGGGAUGCGAAUCUCAAAAACCGGUCUCAGUUCGGAUUGGAGUCUGCAACCCGACUCCAUGAAGCUGGAUUCGCUAGUAAUCGCGCAUCAGCCACGGCGCGGUGAAUACGUUCCCGGGCCUU